rnacentral:rRNA from 1 species
UACGUAGGGUGCAAGCGUUGUCCGGAAUUAUUGGGCGUAAAGAGCUCGUAGGCGGUCUGUCGCGUCGGAUGUGAAAACCCAGGGCUCAACCCUGGGCCUGCAUUCGAUACGGGCAGACUAGAGUUCGGUAGGGGAGACUGGAAUUCCUGGUGUAGCGGUGAAAUGCGCAGAUAUCAGGAGGAACACCGGUGGCGAAGGCAGCUCGCUGGGACGGUACUGACGCUAAGGCGCGAAAGCGUGGGUAGCAAACAGG